rnacentral:rRNA from 1 species
UACGUAGGGUGCAAGCGUUAAUACGGAAUUACUGGGCGUAAAGCGUGCGCAGGCGGUUGUGCAAGACAGAUGUGAAAUCCCCGGGCUCAACCUGGGAAUUGCAUUUGUGACUGCACGGCUAGAGUGUGUCAGAGGGGGGUAGAAUUCCACGUGUAGCAGUGAAAUGCGUAGAGAUGUGGAGGAAUACCGAUGGCGAAGGCAGCCCCCUGGGAUAACACUGACGCUCAUGCACGAAAGCGUGGGGAGCAAACAGG